rnacentral:rRNA from 1 species
AUUGAACGCUGGCGGCAUGCCUUACACAUGCAAGUCGAACGGCAGCACGGGUGCUUGCACCUGGUUGCGAGUGGCGAACGGGUGAGUAAUACAUCGGAACAUGUCCUGUAGUGGGGGAUAGCCCGGCGAAAGCCGGAUUAAUACCGCAUACGAUCUACGGAUGAAAGCGGGGGCCCUUCGGGCCUCGCGCUAUAGGGUUGGCCGAUGGCUGAUUAGCUAGUUGGUGGGGUAAAGGCCUACCAAGGCGACGAUCAGUAGCUGGUCUGAGAGGACGACCAGCCACACUGGGACUGAGACACGGCCCAGACUCCUACGGGAGGCAGCAGUGGGGAAUUUUGGACAAUGGGCGAAAGCCUGAUCCAGCAAUGCCGCGUGUGUGAAGAAGGCCUUCGGGUUGUAAAGCACUUUUGUCCGGAAAGAAAUCCUUGGCCCUAAUACGGUCGGGGGAUGAGGGUACCGGAAGAAUAAGCACCGGCUAACUACGUG